rnacentral:pre_miRNA from 1 species
UGGAAGACUAGUGAUUUUGUUGUUCUACAUUUGCAAAACAAUAAGUCACUAUCUUCCCAAA